CAACGACCACCCAGGGCCGGAAAGUUCGUCAAACUUGGUCAUUUAGAGGAAGUAAAAGUCGUAACAAGGUCUCCGUAGGUGAACCUGCGGAGGGAUCAUU
rnacentral:rRNA from 1 species